rnacentral:rRNA from 1 species
CCCUUAGAUGUUCUGGGCUGCACGCGCGCUACACUGAUGCACUCAACGAGUUUACGACCUUGCCCGAUAGGGUUGGGUAAUCUUUUUAAAAUGCAUCGUGAUGGGGAUAGAUUAUUGCAAUUAUUAAUCUUCAACGAGGAAUUCCUAGUAAGCGCGAGUCAUCAGCUCGUGCUGAUUACGUCCCUGCCCUUUGUACACACCGCCCGUCGCUCCUACCGAUUGAGUGCUCAGGUGAAUAAUUCGGACUGCAGCAAUGUUUGGAUCCCGAACGUUGCAGCGGAAAGUUUAGUGAACCUUAUCACUUAGAGGAAGGAGAAGUCGUAACA